rnacentral:rRNA from 1 species
GACGAACGCUGGCGGCGUGCUUAACACAUGCAAGUCGAACGGAAAGGCCCUGCUUUUGUGGGGUGCUCGAGUGGCGAACGGGUGAGUAACACGUGAGUAACCUGCCCUUGCCUUUGGGUUAACUUCAGGAAACUGGGGCUAAUCCCGGAUAGGAGCUCCUGCUGCAUGGUGGGGGUUGGAAAGUUUCGGCGGUUGGGGAUGGACUCGCGGCUUAUCAGCUUGUUGGUGGGGUAGUGGCUUACCAAGGCUUUGACGGGUAGCCGGCCUGAGAGGGUGACCGGCCACAUUGGGACUGAGAUACGGCCCAGACUCCUACGGGAGGCAGCAGUGGGGAAUAUUGCACAAUGGGCGGAAGCCUGAUGCAGCAACGCCGCGUGCGGGAUGACGGCCUUCGGGUUGUAAACCGCUUUCGCCUGUGACGAAGCGUGAGUGACGGUAAUGGGUAAAGAAGCACCGGCUAACUACGUG